UCGUCCGUCAGCGCCAGCGCCCCCUUCCACGUCCGUCAUCGCGGCCUAUCCCUCCACAGCCACCAGCACCGCGUCCGCCCUCUAGCUCCGCCGCCGCUGCCGUCUCCCUCCAGAUCUGCCUCCGCCGUGGUCCAACUCCGUCGACAACGCCAUCAACAGGGUCUCUCAAGUCUUCCUUCAGAUAAAAGUUCAGUUUUCAACUCUCAGAAUUCAGGUAAUGGCUAUAGUACUGUGGGGGUGAAGACUGGAUGGUAAAACUAGCAAAGAUACGAAGAUUGGAGCAACCCUUGUAGCAACAUCUUCCUUCGGUUCUUAAUAUUAUGAACAAAAUUAGAUUUUGAGAGUUGAGACUCUUAGUUUCUGGUUCCUGUACUUAGUAUCAAUUUACGUGUUGUGAAUUUUGGGAAUGUAGAAUUCACUUGUUGUGGAUUCAGGGAUUGCACCAAUCUUAAUCUCUAGCUAUCGGCAUGCACUUUGACAAUUUGAUUAGUACUAAAAUGUUCAAGUGCGUGACGGGUU